GACGUAGGGCGCGAGCGUUGUCCGGAUUUAUUGGGCGUAAAGAGCUCGUAGGCGGCUUGUCGCGUCGUUCGUGAAAACCCACAGCUCAACUGUGGGCUUGCGGUCGAUACGGGCAGGCUGGAGUUCGGUAGGGGAGACUGGAAUUCCUGGUGUAGCGGUGAAAUGCGCAGAUAUCAGGAGGAACACCGGUGGCGAAGGCGGCACUCUGGGCCGGUACUGACGCUGAGGAGCGAAAGCGUGGGGAGCGAACAGG
rnacentral:rRNA from 1 species